rnacentral:rRNA from 1 species
AUGAACGCUGGCGGCGUGCCUAAUACAUGCAAGUCGAGCGAACAGACGAGGAGCUUGCUCCUCUGACGUUAGCGGCGGACGGGUGAGUAACACGUGGAUAACCUACCUAUAAGACUGGGAUAACUUCGGGAAACCGGAGCUAAUACCGGAUAAUAUAUUGAACCGCAUGGGUCAAUAGUGAAAGACGGUUUUGCUGUCACUUAUAGAUGGAUCCGCGCCGCAUUAGCUAGUUGGUAAGGUAACGGCUUACCAAGGCAACGAUGCGUAGCCGACCUGAGAGGGUGAUCGGCCACACUGGAACUGAGACACGGUCCAGACUCCUACGGGAGGCAGCAGUAGGGAAUCUUCCGCAAAGGGCGAAAGCCUGACGGAGCAACGCCGCGUGAGUGAUGAAGGUCUUCGGAUCGUAAAACUCUGUUAUUAGGGAAGAACAAAUGUGUAAGUAACUAUGCACGUCUUGACGGUACCUAAUCAGAAAGCCACGGCUAACUACGUG